CACUGACUAUCCUCUGGCAAAUGGGAUCCAGGAGAAAUGACGCCCUCUUCGAACUGAAAG
ensembl:misc_RNA